UACCAGCACCCCGAGCGGUCGGGACGUUUAUUGGGCCUAAAGCAUCCGUAGCCGGUUCUACAAGUCUUCCGUUAAAUCCACCUGCUUAACAGAUGGGCUGCGGAAGAUACUAUAGAGCUAGGAGGCGGGAGAGGCAAGCGGUACUCGAUGGGUAGGGGUAAAAUCCGUUGAUCCAUUGAAGAACACCAGUGGCGAAGGCGGCUUGCCAGAACGCGCUCGACGGUGAGGGAUGAAAGCUGGGGGAGCAAACCGG
rnacentral:rRNA from 1 species